AUUGAACGCUGGCGGCAUGCUUUACACAUGCAAGUCGAACGGUAACAGGCCGCAAGGUGCUGACGAGUGGCGAACGGGUGAGUAAUGCAUCGGAACGUGCCCAGUCGUGGGGGAUAACGCAGCGAAAGCUGCGCUAAUACCGCAUACGAUCUCUGGAUGAAAGCGGGGGACCGAAAGGCCUCGCGCGAUUGGAGCGGCCGAUGUCAGAUUAGGUAGUUGGUGGGGUAAAGGCCCACCAAGCCAACGAUCUGUAGCUGGUCUGAGAGGAUGACCAGCCACACUGGGACUGAGACACGGCCCAGACUCCUACGGGGGGCAGCAGUGGGGAAUUUUGGACAAUGGGCGCAAGCCUGAUCCAGCAAUGCCGCGUGCAGGAAGAAGGCCUUCGGGUUGUAAACUGCUUUUGUACGGAACGAAACGGUCUGGGUUAAUACCCUGGGCUAAUGACGGUACCGUAAGAAUAAGCACCGGCUAACUACGUGCCAGCAGCCGCAGUAACAC
rnacentral:rRNA from 1 species